GUCUACCACCAUGCCACCCUGAACAAGCCCAAUGUCUGAUCUUGGAAGCUAAGCAGAGUUGAACCUUGUUAGUAUUUGGAUGGGAGACCUCUUAGGAAGACCAGGUGCUGUAGACA
rnacentral:rRNA from 1 species